rnacentral:rRNA from 1 species
CCCUUAGAUGUUCUGGGCAGCACGCGCGCUACAAUGGUCUUCGCAAACGGAUGCAUUCUCGAAGGAGAAUGCCAAUCUUGGAAUCUAUGCCUUGGUCGGGACAGUUGCUUGCAAUUUUUCGACUCGAACCAGGAAUUCCUUGUAAUCGUGAUUCAUCACAUCACGAUGAAUACGUCCCUGCCCUUUGUACACACCGCCCGUCGCUCCUACCGAUCGAAGAGUUAGGUGAAUUGUUUUGAUCGAUAAUAUUUGACUAUGGUCAACUCUCGUUGUGAAAUUCUGUGAAUCUGACUGUUUAGAGGAAGGAAAAGUCGUAACA